rnacentral:rRNA from 1 species
ACGCUCGACACCUACGGGGGCAGCAGUAGGGAAUCUUCCGCAAUGGACGAAAGUCUGACGGAGCAACGCCGCGUGAACGAUGAAGGUUUUCGGAUCGUAAAGUUCUGUUGUUAGGGAAGAACAAACUUCGUUUGAAUAAGGCGGAGUCAUGACGGUACCUAACGAGAAAGCCACGGCUAACUACGUGCCAACAGCCGCGGUAAUCUGAGCGGGCGUGGCAAGGC